UCAAUCAUAGAUAUUAGAGUACAUAGGGAUUGGAAACGGGCCGUAGCAACAGGAAAAUGCUAGUUGAUAGUACCGUAAAUAAUUUCUCUAAAUACUCGUAUGUAAAAUUAAAAUGACUGAAAGUUGAAAAAGGUAACCCUUCAAUAAUGUUUAGACAUUCUUCCUGUUUGCCCAAGCUGUCAGCUGUAGCAAUGUAUCUGUUUGCAGUUUAAAUUCAGUGUUUUAUGAAUUAGCAAUCAUUAUUGAUCACAUUUACUAUAUUUAGUUCUAUUUUUUGUUUUGUACAACCUAUUGAAUAGAAAUGGUGUUGGCGACCUCCGGUGUGUUCUAAGCAAUACAAUGGUAUGAUAGCUAAUGUCACAGACCCUUUGGUUUUUAUGUUAAGGGUACAAAACAAACCUCUCAAACUAAUCAACAAAUCUAUUGUUACAGAAAGAUGCAACCGUAUUUCCAAACGAAACAUAGUGGGCGACCUCGACAUUAUGAAUCUCUAUUGAGUGGUUGAAUAAGUUAUUGUUUUCUGUCUAACACUACUGAGAUAAGGGUACAAAACAAAAUGUCAUUCUAAGCAUUCUCAUUCCAGAGCAAAUAUUCAGUGUAAAUGAUGAUGCUAGCAACAUAAAAAUUAGUCUGGGGAUAGAUGCCGGUCUCCUCUGCUUCCUUUGAUAUAAAUAAUGACGUAUAGUGACACCACUGCUGGAAUGACAGGUCUCAAAAAGACAGCUCUUGCUCAAAGACAGCCUCCGUUGCUAGGCGUUGCUACACGCCCAAGAGUUGGAACAUGGACCAGUCCUGAUACAGGCCUGAAUCAUUACUGAUGAUCGAGCCUGGACCGAGGAUUUGGGGCAAUGUCCUGAUCCGAUAUUGACGAAUCAGCCACGAUUUAUGCUGGUGCCAGACCUGAUCCGACAACGAUAACGAUAUUCAUUAAGCCUCAUUAUGACGUAAUUCCUGUUAUGCUUAAUUAAUACUUAAUUAUUAUUCAUUAUUAAUUUAAAAUGAUUUGGAAUUAUUAUUAAAACCAAAAAAAAGAUUAUAAUUGUUUUCUUCAUCAUAGUCUACCAAUGUUCCACAAGCAAGACACUUCAUGUUUUGUAACUUAAGACAC